GCCGGGUGUGGUGGUGCAUGCCUGUAAUCCCAGCUACGUGGGAGGCUGAGGCAGCAGAAUUGCUUGAACCCGGGAGAUGGAAGUUUCAGUGAGCUGAGAUCAUGCCACUGCACUCCAUCCUGGGUGACAGAGCAAGACUCUGUCUCGG
ensembl:misc_RNA Metazoa_SRP Metazoan signal recognition particle RNA